UCUUGACUAGUAUAUCGGUUCAGUACACCCGCUUGUCAUUUAUGUAUUUGAUUGAGCGCGGGAGAGCAGGGUUCGACUCCCUGGUCGAGAG